UAUUAUUUUAAAACUAUACAAUUUUGGGGGUGCUUGUAUUCAGCAACAUAUACAGAAAUUGGUAUCUGGGAUGGCAUGUUACAUAAAAUGCCAAAACCUAAGGCACUGGCUUUUAGGUUGGGUAGCUGGUGGAGACUGGAGGAGUGGCAAGUAGACUAUUAGUGGAGGACAGAGGGAUGGUGUGGUAGAAAGAUUAAUGCUCCCCCACCCUGAGAUGUCCAUAGCCUAAUCCCCAGAACCUAUGAAUGUGUCACCUUACCUGGUCAAAGGGACUUUUACAGAUGUGAUUAAGGAUCCUUAGGUGUGGAGAAUAUCUCAGAUUAUCUAGAUGGGCUGAAUAUAAACACAAGUGUCCUGAAAGUGGAAGAGGGCUACAUAAGAGGAGGUCAGAGUGAUGUGAAAUGAGGACUAGACCCACUGUUGCUGGCUUUGCAGAGGGAUGAGAGGAACCACAAGCCAGGGAAUGUGUGCAGCCUGUGGAAGCCAGAAGAGGAAAUGAAACAGAUUCCUCUCCAGACCCUCCAGAGAGGAAUGCCAUUCAGCAAACAUCUUGAUUUUGUUCCUGUGAGAUCAGUUCAGUGUUUGUUUCUAACCUAUAGACCUAUAUCAUAAUAAAUUUGUGUUAAGCCUGCUUGGUUUAGUGAUAUGUUACACAAACAGGAGAAAAAAAUAAUACAAAUGGUUGGGAGGCUAUUUACCAAAGCUUGAAGACUAGUGAACAAACUCUUAGUAGAGGGUAGAAAGGCAAUUAUUAAAUGCUGGAAAAUGUAGGACCUGAGUUAUAUGGUAACAGAAUGCUUGGCCUACUUUUGCCUGCCAUCACAUAAAGAUAGAAAAUGGGUUUAUAGAUCUCUUUUGAGUUUAUUGGUCUCAAGGAGGUUUCCAGGCAGAGUAGUGAAAGUACCAAGUGACUUUUUAUAACUACUGAUGAUAAUGUACAAGAAGGGACAAAUGACCUAUAGAAGGAACUAUUUGAUUUAAAAUAAGAAUUUAGAGGAAAUAUUUCCCACCCAGUCCUUGUCAUUUCUUAGGGAAAAGAAGAAUGACUGGUGAGCUGAGUCAUAAUUCCAGAGGGAGGAGCCAAGAAGCAAGAUGAGGAAUGGAUUAGGAAAUCAUCACCAGAGGGAUGAACUGAACCACAAUCAAAGACUAUCCCUUGCCUUCAGUAAAACUUGGACGGAGAGAAGCCAGUCCCAAGUAACCGUACCUGAGGUUUUCUCCAUGUUCUGGACCUGAUGUGGGUGAUGAUACUGAACUUAAACUGAUGUAAUCAUGAGAUGAAACUUUUAGGGCACAAGGUUUCUUAGGCAUCUACAUAAACAGCUCUAUCAUUUAUGAAUAGAGGCAAGUUUUUUUCCUUCUCACCCAGGACAAGAUGGCUGAUUAGAAAGACAUUUCCUGCAAGAGACCUGAUCUAGACAUAUCUACAUCAAGUCAGAAUGCUUGGGCACCAUCCAAAAGGGCAGAAAAUAUGUUCUGUGUUAUUAAAAAUGCCAGAAUGGAGGUACAAAGUAGUACAAAUUUACACAAGGAACUGGCGAUCCCAAGAAAUGGUUAAAAUAGGGUAACUAUAAAAAAAAAGUUAA